rnacentral:rRNA from 1 species
AUUGAACGCUGGCGGCAGGCCUAACACAUGCAAGUCGAGCGGAUGAAGGGAGCUUGCUCCUGGAUUCAGCGGCGGACGGGUGAGUAAUGCCUAUGAAUCUGCCUGGUAGUGGGGGAUAACGUCCGGAAACGGGCGCUAAUACCGCAUACGUCCUGAGGGAGAAAGUGGGGGAUCUUCGGACCUCACGCUAUCAGAUGAGCCUAGGUCGGAUUAGCUAGUUGGUGGGGUAAAGGCCUACCAAGGCGACGAUCCGUAACUGGUCUGAGAGGAUGAUCAGUCACACUGGAACUGAGACACGGUCCAGACUCCUACGGGAGGCCGCAGUGGGGAAUAUUGGACAAUGGGCGAAAGCCUGAUCCAGCCAUGCAGCGUGUGUGAAGAAGGUCUUCGGAUUGUAAAGAACUUUAAGUUGGGAGGAAGGGCAGUAAGUUAAUACCUUGCUGUUUUGACGUUACCAACAGAAUAAGCACCGGCUAACUUCGUG